UGUAGGAGUGAGCCUGCUCGCGAUGGCGUCAGCCCAGCCAACAUUGAUGUUGCCUGACACACCGCUAUCGCGAGCAGGCUCACUCCUACA
rnacentral:misc_RNA from 1 species